CCUACGGGAGGCAGCAGUGGGGAAUUUUGCGCAAUGGGGGAAACCCUGACGCAGCAACGCCGCGUGGAGGAUGAAGCCCCUUGGGGUGUAAACUCCUGUCACUGCAGAACAAGGAUACGCAUGUUAAUAGCAAGCGUAUUUGAUGGUAUGCGGAGAGGAAGGGACGGCUAACUCUGUGCCAGCAGCCGCGGUAAU
rnacentral:rRNA from 1 species